UCUCGUUCAACAUGCCGGUGUGGACGAUGUGUCCAACAGGAACAUCCAGGUCGUUGGCACACAGAUGCUGCAGCAGCUCCAUAGCCUGAUCUCCUGUUGCCUGGGACAUCAGGACAGAGCAAAGGGGUUAACUUGGUUCGGCUGCUCUGCAAGUUACCAAAGCGUUUGAUGUCCAGUGGCCACACGUUGGCGGUGGGGUAGCCGUAGGUCAUCCACUCUGCCAGGCUGUCCUCCGGCAAAUACAUGUAUACACACAUCCUUACUUGCCAGCUCCUCCAGCAAAAGACAAACCGGAGGAGUUCAUCCCCGCCAGCACGUAGUAUCCAGAGAUGCCCGGUAUCUCCCCCA